CAAAGUUCAACUGCAACAGUUAAAACUGCACAUAAAUUACCAGUAGUUGAAAAAAAAAAAAAUUAAAUAAAAGAUAACCUUACCUACCUAAUUACAAUUUUUUAAAAAAAUUUAUAAAUACGGUUGCCAAAUGCCAACUAGAGCUAUAAUUGUUGGCUUAAAUGAGCCAGCAUUCUGCCUUAUGGCGGGAGACUAUAUUGGGCCAAGUUAUAUUCGAAAUAGCGUAAGGUUGGGCGGGCCAAGUCACAUUCGAAAUGGUGUGAGGCUGGUUGGAUCGAGUCACAAUCAAAACUCAUGGGUGCAUGUAUCUGUAAACUUUAAAUGAAUUGAUUGCGUAUUUUCAAUAACUUGAGUUUUUUAUAUUAAUAGUUAAUGCCAACGAUCCGACAAAUAGUAUCAGAGCCAGAAGUCAUGAAUUCUUUCGAGCUUUUGGAAUUAAUGGUUAGCGCCGACAAUAAUUAUUGUAUUUUUAUUUAUGUGCAUCUCUAUUAAAUUAUGUUUAUAAUUACAUCCAACAAAACAAUCCC
rnacentral:lncRNA from 1 species